GCCAGAUGCCUCAUCACCCCAGAGCCAAGUGGGCUGUUUGAAGGCACAGCCCCCACCAAAAAUACUUCCAGCCAGUGUCCUUGUUAGAAGAGGGAACUGAGACACAGACACGCACAGAGGCCACAAUGGUCGUCUACAAGCCAAGAAGAGAGGACUCAAAAGAAAUCCACACUGUGGCCACUUGGUUCUCAGAUGCCAAGCUUCCGAACUGUCCUUCAGAGAGUCCAGCCUUGGCUCCUGUGGAGAGAGGUAUGGUCAUCGAGGAGGAGGUAGAGGGAAGGAAGGCAGCCUCAGGACCUCCCAACUUAAGGAUGUCUACUCGCUGUGGGACAACUGCCAGAGGAAGACAAGCGGAGGUAAGAGAAACCAUUACCAGAAAGCCCUCUGACUCCGUGGGUCCGCUGGCCUUCUUUACUAACUGGGUGACCUUGGGGGAGUUCAAUUCUCUGAGCCUCGGCUUUCCCACAGGGGGAAGGCAAGGUUGAGAAGAGUAUGCUUACAGGUUCCUGAAACCCAUAAGCUUUAUGAACACACAGACUUCAUGGUGAGUUUGGGUUGGCAGACUGCUCUUGGGGGCUCCAGGUGCGCCUGCGUCUGCCUCGGGUUCUUGACUCUCCCGCC